rnacentral:rRNA from 1 species
AACGAACGCUGGCGGCAUGCCUAACACAUGCAAGUCGAACGAGACCUUCGGGUCUAGUGGCGCACGGGUGCGUAACACGUGGGAAUUUGCCUCGGGGUAUGGAAUAACUCAGGGAAACUUGAGCCUAAUACCAUAUAAUGUCUUCGGACCAAAGAUUUAUCGCCCUGAGAUAAGCCCGCGUAGGAUUAGCUAGUUGGUGGGGUAAAGGCUCACCAAGGCGACGAUCCUUAGCUGGUCUGAGAGGAUGAUCAGCCACACUGGGACUGAGACACGGCCCAGACUCCUACGGGAGGCAGCAGUGGGGAAUAAUUUGGGACAAAUGGGCGAAAGCCUGAUCCAGCAAUGCCGCGUGAGUGAUGAA